GGGCCCGCACAAGCGGUGGAGCAUGUGGUUUAAUUCGACGCAACGCGAAGAACCUUACCUGGAUUUGACAUCCCGGGAAUCCUGUUGAAAGACAGGAGUGCCCUUCGGGGAGCCUGGAGACAGGUGCUGCAUGGCUGUCGUCAGCUCGUGUCGUGAGAUGUUGGGUUAAGUCCCGCAACGAGCGCAACCCUUGUCUUUAGUUACCAUCAUUCAGUUGGGGACUCUAAAGAUACUGCCCCCGGUCAACGGGGAGGAAGGUGGGGAUGACGUCAAGUCCUCAUGGCCUUUAUGUCCAGGGCUACACACGUGCUACAAUGGGCGGUACAAAGGGUCGCAAACCCGCGAGGGUAAGCCGAAUCCCAAAAAGCCGUCCCAAGUUCGGAUUGGAGUCUGCAACUCGACUCCAUGAAGUUGGAAUCGCUAGUAAUCGCGGAUCAGCAUGCCGCGGUGAAUACG
rnacentral:rRNA from 1 species